rnacentral:rRNA from 1 species
UACGUAGGGCGCAAGCGUUGUCCGGAAUUAUUGGGCGUAAAGAGCUCGUAGGCGGCCAGUUGCGUCCGCUGUGAAAUCCCGGGGCUUAACCCCGGGCGUGCAGUGGAUACGGGCUGGCUAGAGGCAGGCAGGGGAGAACGGAAUUCCCGGUGUAGCGGUGAAAUGCGCAGAUAUCGGGAGGAACACCGGUGGCGAAGGCGGUUCUCUGAGCCUGUACUGACGCUGAGGAGCGAAAGCGUGGGGAGCAAACAGG